CCACACCCAAAAAGAUUUUUUUUCUUUGAAACAUAGUAAAAAAAUCCACAAAUAUUUAUUUACUUUAUUUUGGAAGGAUUGUCCAACCAUCCCACCCAAGCUAUUGCUAUCAAACUUAAAAUAAAAUCUUAUUAGUUUGUUUUAUGUCUUUACAAAUGUUAAAGAGAUUGUAGAAAAUAUACCUGAACUCAGAAUCGUCUAUGAAGUACAACUUCUUUAAAACAUAAGGGAUCAAUAAUAUGUUUCAAUUAUGGUCCUCUUCCACUUAGAAUAUGACUAUAUUACCUUGACCUUAUUGAAUAUGAACAAUUUCCCCCUGAUGGAUUACGUUAUACUGUCAAGCACUCGAAUAGCCGAGCGUGCUGUCCUCUGACAGCUCUUGUUUGUGUAGAGGUCUAUUAAAAACUGAUAAAAUUCCGGGAUUUUCUAGAUUUUCUGGUUCCUACAGGACCCCAUUCAAUCACACAUCUUUACACAGCUGAACAACAACAGGCCUUCUGGACAUCCAAGGACAAUGGCUUGGUAAAGGUGGCAAGCUCUUGGGUCAGGAAUUUUGGGUAAAGCUCUUACCCCCAGGGUACAGCCAGUCUAUCCAUGGAACUCCAAACUUCCCUGCUUAGGGGCCAAGACUACCUCAUCUACAAGGGACCUUAUCCUUACAAUUUCAGUCCCAGAGAAAAAUGUUACCCAACUGCAACACAGGCAAUACAUCUCAACAGAAUGUUCAUCUUGACAAUAUCUAAGCAAAGUUCAAAAUUGAAUUCCGAUCUUGCAACAGGUCGAGUCUUCUACCAAAGUUUAAUGUUUAACUCAGGUCCGUCAGUCUCUUGUGUAACAACCGAAGCUAAAGAUGAAGUGCCACAGAGAGAAAUAGAGGUCACAACAGUAAGACAUGCAGAUAUUGCUGCUUCAGUCUCAAUAGCAACAUAUGCAGCAGCAAAAGCAGCAACAACACCCACAAUUCAACAAUCAACAGUGCCAUUGCUGAGCUCUUUCAAAUGUCGAGGAUUACCUAAAACCACUCGGUGCCAAGCAAUGAAAUUAUCAGCUGCCACCUUGACUUGACCACUGUACACACCUGGGAGUCAGGUUUAAGGUCACAUCAGCUUAAAUGUUCACGGCAGUAAGAAAAUGUAAGAUCUUAAAGGGACUUGUUCACAGAUUGUGUGGGUAAGUUGACAGACCUCAUUUGCAUUACUAAAAAAAUGGCAACAAUUUUAAAUGAAUAAACAUAUGACUACAACUUAUACCAAUAUAUUGCGGUACAUAGUGUAUAGUAUCGCAAUAUGCUUUUACUGCCUUGAAUACAAAUAUAAAUUACCCCAGUUUGGAAUCCAAAUAGAGGCAGUUUUUUUAUUUUAUGUCCUUAAUUUUUAUUAUUUUAAUUAUUUUAGGUUAUUCCAUAAACUGUAUUUUAUUGGUUUUAAUAAUGUUUGUAAAAAUAUAUUGAGAACUCGAUGACCACUAUAUCUUAAAACAAAAUGACUGCAGAACAGGUCUUAAGCAUUUUCCUUUAAAUAUGUCACUAUCUUUCUCAGUAAACACAAUGUCUGCAGAAAGAAUAACCUCUUUCCCUUUAAAGAAAUCUCAAUAUGUUUUUUUACUGCAAACGGAUUUAUUACAGAACUGGAAUCUAUCUUUGAACAUUUUCCUGCAGUAUUCUCCGUCAUUUGCAGUUAACAAGAUGACUGAACAACAUGGCAUCAAUGGCAAGGAAGAAGUGAUCAGGGGGGGGGUAAUCACGUGCAAGUCAAGAUGGCGACGUCCAUGCCAAGACUGAAAACUCUGAUUGCAAAGCGUAGAGUCUUCUCCGGAGGCAUUUGCACACAAGGCACAAACAUCAGCUGCAAUAAUCGUCUUGAUAUUCUGUCAUCGCCAUGGUGCAUGACCCUCAGUCUAUGAACAUAGAGAACCUUGGACACCCAUGGAAGAAAGAAAACUGGCCAAUCAGAAUUACAGCCUGUUGCAGCAGUGGUUACCAUAUUUUCCUCAGUCAAACCUGAGAAGCUCAGAGAUAUAUACUGUUUAAGAUGUGCUAGACUCUACAUACCUCCUGGUAUGUUCAGCACUUACUCUGACAGGUUUUAUCUUUGAAUUUUGUGACGGAUGGAAAAUAAAUGAGCUUGUUGACAUCGAAAUGGCAGAAUGACAUAUCACAACAAUUAAAGUGGAAAGCCAGAAAGUCAUGUGGACAGCCACGUUUUGUAUGUGACCAGCCAAGUUGUGUUCAAAGGAAAACACAAGUAUAUGUUUUAUGGGAAUUAUGAUACUGUCAGUCAUUUUAUGUUAAAAGUUUUGGUGAAAUAUAGUAUGUACAUUAUUAUCAUAAGCACACAUAUAACAAGUCUAUCCAAUGUCUUUGUCUGUAUUAUGAAACUUUCACUACAGACUUUGAUCCUGAUAAUGAUAACAUUUUAUUUUAAGAUUGUCAACGCUGUUUAAAUGAUGGUGGUAAAUUGGAUAAAAUUGAGAAAAUAUUUAAGUAUUUUCCUGUAAUGAUACAUGUUCAUGUUUUCUGUUUUUACCAGUAAUAUAGAUGUGCUACUUAAACAAAUUCUUCAGAAAGGCUUAGAGUUAUGAAAUAUCGGAAUUGUCUGUCUAUCAAUCUUUCUGAAACAAUAUAAGUCGAUUGGCUCACCCGGGUCAGUAUUCGAUCAAGAAUCUUGUUUAGUAGCAUAAUAUUUCAUCGGAAUACAUGUAUAAAUAAAUUCUGGGAAAAAUCAUUUAAUCUACCUAACAUGAUUGAUUCUGUAUUUACUACCAGUACUUGGUUGAUUUCAAUGGCUGUGAUUUGUUAAAUGAUAAGAGCAUGAAUUGUGUUAUUGGGAAAGCUUUUCAUGUAAAUGAGAAUUAAACAAAGAUGAAAGUAUUUUAUGAAAAAUGGCAAAAGUUAUGAUUGUUAGUUUGUGUUGUUAUAUCAAAUACUUACAUGCUGGUAAGUUUUAAAGUUUGUUUUUGGUCAUAAUAGUUUAUAAUGCCAUAUAUUUGUAUAUGCACAUUUAGACAACCCUCUUAAAUCAGUGAGUACACAUGUAACUUAACCAAGAUUUCUGAUCACUGUAUAUAGGUCUGUUUUGCCAUGUAUACAUAGAGCAACUGCGAAACAAUUGUAUGUUCAGUGUAAACUGUUUAUUUAAUGUUGCCAUUUUUAUAAGAUAAACUCACUGUUUACAUUUAUUUGUACAAACAAUUGUUCUAAAACAACAUUUCUUGUGUAAAUGCUCAUAUACGUAUUAAACUGUUUAAAUAAUGCAGCAUGACAUAUUUUGAAGAGAAAAAGAUAGUUAAGGCAAUAUAAACACCUUGUUAUAUGCAAUGUUUUUCAUCGAAUGAAUUUUAGCAACUAUUUAAAAUGUAUUUUUUACAUAAACUAAAGAAAAAAUAAUACCUUGAAAUUUGAAUUAAAAUUAAGGGAGAGUGAUGUCAUAUGCUAACAAUUGCCAAGAAUUGCAAUGGCCUCUAUUGGCAAUAUAAGCGAGUACUAUUAUUUGCAAAAGAUAUCUAUUUUGUUAAAUAAUAAUUGUGUUUUACAACUCUACAUAACAAGUAAAUACAUUUCUAAUUAUUUCGCACUAUAUACUCGGCUAUAGGUGAAUGUCUAAAAGGGUUUUGUGGAAUAAACACUUCAGAAAAUAUAUGCUUGUUUCAGGAAGUAAUAGUUUAGGUAAAAUGUGAUACUUAUUGUUACAUAAACACCAAGUGUAAUAACAAAAUGCAUCAGUAAUGACUUUAUUUGAAAAAUUACAUUUGCAAGAUCACACAAUGUGUAAAGUUGUGUAAAUGUGACGUUUAUGAAAUGUGUAUAUUUCAACAAUAAUAUUGUACUUGUAUUUAAAGUACUUGAUAAGUAUUGACGUAGAUCUACUGCUAUUAGAGAAUUGUGUCAUUUAACUAGUUUUGUUACAGUUUGUGUAACGUUGACCAGUCAACAUAGCUGUCAGUGGAGUGAAUUCACUGGGGUUCAAUUUCCGUAAUUCUUCCAGUUUAAAACUUCAGCAUACACGUAUGUCUUAAAUACAGAUUUCCCUAAAAUUGUGGUUGUUUAUAUUGAACUUUUAUUGAAUGCAUGUGACAUGUUUGUUCUUUUGUUGAACGACUGAAAAUGACUUUAUAUGUAUAAAUUGUGUGUCAUGUUUAGAUAUAUCAAAUUGAUAAAUAGAAAACAAAAUACAAAAUUUGCAAUAAUUUGUAUGCAUGCUUAGCCCCCAAAAAUGUUAUCAAACAAGCUUAUUGGUAUUGGACUAUGUUUGUAAUUUAAGAUUAAAUGCUUCAAUCAUGUGUGAUUUUUUUCAUUUACGUUAAAUAAACAUUUUUCAUUAGUAGAUAUAGGGUGUAUAAACUCUUAUGUAGACUUCUUUUUAAUUGCUUUUGUAAAUAUCUUCAAUAUUUGACAUUACUGUUAAGGGUAUUUUUAGCUCGGUUGUUUUCGGAAAAAAAACGAGGUAUUGUCAUAGCCAGCUCGUUGUGUCGUCCGACGUCCGCGUCGUGCUAAAACCUUUAAAUUUUGCUCUAAAAUUAAAGUGCUUCCACCUAAAACUUUGAAACUUCAUAUGUAGAUGCACAUUGAUGAGUUCUACACGCCACACCUAUUUUGCGGUCACUAGGUCAAAGGUCAAGGUUGCAGUGACCUCUUGAAAAAAACUAAUUCGUACAAGCUUUCAUUCAUUCAAAACUGCACCCGCAUCCGAGCGUGGCACCCAUUAUUGGGUGCUCUUGUUAUAGUAAACAUGUACAUGUUUCUCUAAACUGUAAACGGGUGUCUGUUUAAGUUAUUGUGAUUUGUUAAUUUUGUAUUGCUAAUUAAAUGAAAUAUUGUGUAUA